AUUGUAAUAAAACCGAAUUAUUUUACAAAUAAAUUAUAAUUUUGCAUUUAUUAGGUCAUUUCCUUAGUGUUUCGCUGACCGACCUGUGCUGGUAUUGUGAUUAAGAGCUAAUACACAUUUUUCGGACGAUUCUGCUGUGCUGCGUUCCUGCUCCGCCUGUAUAUUGCUCCGCCCGUAUUUUAUAAUGUUGCGUUCCUGUUGCGCCUUUGCAUUAGUGUGUGCGUUGUGAUUUAGACACGUUGAAAUUUUUUGUAUGCUUCUGCUGUGCUGCGUUCCUGCUCCACCCGUGUAUUAGAUUUCUGCGUUCCUGUUAACAUACAUAUCGUCGCUUAAAGUACAAAACCGCGUAACUUGCUGCUAAAAAUAGGAUUCGCUCACACACGUUUUUGGAUCAAUCCUUAUCCAUUCUUCCUGAAAUAUACUA